rnacentral:sRNA from 1 species
GGAUGAGAGGGCAGCCUGGCUGUGACAUCUGUCACCCCACUGAUCACCAGAGUUGAUUUGGCUGACCUGGCUGGCUUGGCGGGUGUCCCUUUCCUCCCUCACAGCUCCAUGUGUUUCCCUCCUGAAGCUGUGUGCUUGGUCAGAGAGGACGACCGUCCCUGAAUAGAGGAGGACCGGUCUUGGGUCAAGGGUAUCCAGGUAGCUGCGCGCCCCUACUAGAACCUCCAGGCAAGCUGUCAACAAGCAGAGCUCACCUUGUGUUCUCCUUUGCACUUUUUAUUCAGUCCAGGUCCCUGGAUGAUGGAACA